GUGGCAGCCUUUGCUAUGAAACCAUACGUGCCCACGCUGGGAUCUGAACCAGUGACGGUGAGUUCAUCCAUCCACAUCUCCAAAGCCAGGAGAUAAUGUCCACUUCUUACCUGUCUUUUUAAUGAUGGAUUUUCCAGUGAGUCUAUAAGUUCAAUCAAUUAGUGGUCCUAGUACGAGUAAUGGAAAUGAGAUCAUGUUUACUUGCAGGUGGCUCAUCACGGCCAUAGUCAGUUACACCAGCUUAUAAAGAUAAAAGUGGAGCUCCACCAGUUAGAAGUAUAUAUAAAAUGACAUUUUUAGACCAGGGCUUGGAUCAACACUUUUAGUUUCAAGAAGAGAGUCAAACAUUUUAUUAAUGCAGAGUCCUCUUGUUGGAGUUAAGACAACUACUCCUGCAACUUGGCAAAGUAUGUUUAGUCUAGCACAUAUCAGUCAGCCAUGAAAGACAGCAUUAUCUCCCGCCCACUUGGAACCUUUUAUACUCAAGGAUAUCCUCUGACUUCAGAAUAUCACCUCAAUGACACUUGAGUGAUUGUGUUUGGGUUUCCUCAAGCACCUGCUUUUUACAUAUUAUAAUUUGCAUACUAUGGGAAUAUCUUAAAAUACGUUAUGUCUAACACACAGGAAAUUGCAUAUUUGUUAUUAAUCUAAACUGUAGGCCUAGAAAGCCUUAAGCAAAGACAGGAGAAUUUUUAGAGAAUUCAUCAUGAUUGGUGUACAACCAUGUUUUGAUGCAAGUGUUACAGAAAACAGUGACAGAUGUGCUUUAUCAUCCCCAUCUUCAGCCUUUACAUCACCAAUCAAAACCUUAGAUAAACCAAUACAACCUGGAAAUACUUCUAGAAUUUCUACCCUGAGACCUCUUGCUACAGCAUACAGAGCUUCUAUCAUUUCUAACAGAGAAACACCUAAAAACAAUGAAAGUCUUGUAUCCAAAGCAAUA
rnacentral:lncRNA from 1 species